AUGGGAACUUCUGGGAAAAGGAUGUUCCAUCAAUGAACGACCGCGUUUUUAAGGAAAUCUUUCGCAUGAGCAGGGCAACCUUUGAAAUAUUGUGUGAAUAUGUCAAAGGUAUUACCAAACAGGAUUCAUGCUAUAGGAAGUGCAUCCCAUUGCAGAAAAGAGUAGCUGUUGCCGUCUACACAUUAAAAUCUUCGGCGGAGUAUGAAACUGUUGCACGACUAUUCGGUGUUUCGAAAGCAAUCGUCAGCGAAAUAUUUCUUGCUUUUUGCCAAGAAGUGUGGCAAUCAUUGCGUCCCAUUUAUUUGGCAGAACAAUUAAGGAACAGUGAAAAAGUGGAUGAGUGUGUUCAUGGGUUUGAGAAGCUUGGCUUUCCGCAAUGUCUUGGUGCCAUAGACGGUUGCCACAUUAAAGUUCGGCCACCUGGAAAGGAUUGCACGGACUAUUACAAUUAUAACGGGUGGUACUCCACAGUUUUAUUUGCCCUUGUGGAUUAUAGAUAUCGCUUCCUCUACAUUAAUGUUGGCUGCCCAGGUCGAUGCAAUGACUCAAAAAUUUUUCAAUGUAGCAAACUAAAUACUGCAUUGAAGGACCCAAUCUUUACUGCAAAAAGCAAAACUAUUAAUGGCGUGAAUGUUCCUGUGGGCAUUAUGGGUGAUUCGGCUUUCCGAUUUGCCAACAAUCUAAUGAAGCCCUAUCCAUUCCAAGUACUUACAUCCUCCAGAGCAUGAAAAAAUUUUUAAUUACCAAUUGUCCAAAUGCCGAAGAGUGGUGGAAAAUGCGUUUGGACACCUAAAGGCUCGUUUUAGGAGAAUAGGGAAAGGAGUCGACAACCACAUCAAAAAUGUUCCUCUUAUAAUUAAAGCAGCCUGUACAUUGCAUAACUUUUUAAAUUGUCAUAAUGAUGUCAUCAACCACAAAUGGAUAGAAGAACAAACCACUUACGAAAGUAGUGUUCGCCUGGAACAGCCCGAGCGCACAUAUGCUGUAGCAGAUUUUGAAGCAGAACCUGAAACAAUUAGAAGAGCGAUUGCGAAUUCAUUUUACUCCGGAGUCGUCGAAAGUCCUGAAAGCUCAUCGCUUGAAAUGAAUUGGGAUUGGCUGCUCGUCGAAGGUUAGAUAGCAGCGCAACCAAUGUUGUCUUCUGGUUCCACAUCUUGAAUUAAAAUAAAAUAAUAAAUAAAAGAGCAAACAAAAGUUUCAUUUUUAUAUUACCUAUACUCUCUUGCAUGAUUUCUUUGAAAUUUACUGCUUUAUUACCACUGAGUAUUUCUUCCACCUCCUUGUAGUGGAUCCAAGAGGAAGGCGAACCACCAGUCAUACCCACCGCAUUCUUUUCUAAUCUAUAAAAUAAGAUACAUAUUAUAAUGCUCUGCACUGUAGUUCAUCUGCCUUUUUGAAAAUUCCUUUUCC